rnacentral:siRNA from 1 species
AAACCCUAGUUUAUGAAUCGUC